UACUAGGUGAGAUGGUUCACUUGCUGAUUUCUGGUAGGGGCACUCUUUGUAACAGAAGAUCAAUGGACAACUUCCUACCAUUAACUAAAUUAAUCUUUCUUCUCUUCCCCUUUCUCCUCAUCUCACCACGAAAGGAAGAAUCUCUGUUAAACGGAAUGUGGCAAAUUAUUAAGGCUGUCUAUAUGAAAGAUGUAAAGCUAUCUGUGGUGGACAAAGAGGACUUCUUAGCUAAUAAAUUAGAAUGUAUGAACUUCUUUGCAAAGUGAUCUGAGGUAUCACUAGUGAGAUUAGCUAACAGCUGCAAAAUGGAACUGUUUUGCUAUGGAUAGGUGAUAACAGAAAAUAUUGCAGUCAGUCAGCAUUAUACUCAUUAGUAAGGGGCAAGCAAAUGAAACAGGCUGAAGGUGCUGCUAUUUGGAAAACAACAGCUGCAGAGCUGUUGAUUGUUGGCAAGGAACACAACUGCCAUCCCCAUAUUCAGCAGGAGUGCGAUCCUUGAAACAGAGUGCUUCAAAGCAGGGACAGGGAAUACCGCUGACUGCACAACACCGUGCUAAGGCUCUGGAGAAAGAACCGUGUCCACUCCCCAGCUCUGUCUGCCAAGAGUGACAAUCAGCAAAACAUGAACUUUCUGGUGAAAUGCUGAG
ensembl:lncRNA